AAAUCUUAAAUAGCGCCAGACCUUUUUAAAAGGAGACGAGGAAAAAGAGUUAUCGAAAUUUCGGCGGAUGCUCUUUAGGUUAUCACAACCUGAAUAAUAUACAAAAAUUAUAAGAAAUUAUAAAACAAAAAUAUUAUAGUGAUUAUUC
rnacentral:ncRNA from 2 species